rnacentral:rRNA from 1 species
UACGUAGGGUGCAAGCGUUAAUCGGAAUUACUGGGCGUAAAGCGUGCGCAGGCGGUUAUGUAAGACAGAUGUGAAAUGCCCGGGCUUAGCCUGGGAACUGCAUUUGUGACUGCAUGGCUAGAGUUUGGCAGAGGGGGGUAGAAUUCCACGUGUAGCAGUGAAAUGCGUAGAUAUGUGGAGGAACACCGAUGGCGAAGGCAGCCCCCUGGGCUGACACUGACGCUCAGGCACGAAAGCGUGGGGAGCAAACAGG